rnacentral:rRNA from 1 species
GACGAACGCUGGCGGCGUGCUUAACACAUGCAAGUCGAACGGAAAGGCCCUGCUUUGGGGGGGUGCUCGAGUGGCGAACGGGUGAGUAACACGUGAGUAACCUGCCCUUGACUUUGGGAUAACUUCAGGAAACUGGGGCUAAUACCGGAUAGGAGCUCCUGCUGCAUGGUGGGGGUUGGAAAGUUUCGGCGGUUGGGGAUGGACUCGCGGCUUAUCAGCUUGUUGGUGGGGUAGUGGUUUACCAAGGCUUUGACGGGUAGCCGGCCUGAGAGGGUGACCGGCCACGUUGGGCCUGGGAUACGGCCCAGACUCCUACGGGAGGCAGCAGUGGGGAAUAUUGCACAAUGGGCGGAAGCCUGAUGCAGCAACGCCGCGUGCGGGAUGACGGCCUUCGGGUUGUAAACCGCUUUCGCAUGUGACGAAGCGUGAGUGACGGUAAUGGGUAAAGAAGCACCGGCUAACUACGUG